rnacentral:rRNA from 1 species
CAGUAGCCGCGGGAAUACGAAGGGUGCAAGCGUUAAUCGGAAUUACUGGGCGUAAAGCGAGCGCAGACGGUUUGUUAAGCAGGAUGUGAAAUCCCCGGGCUCAACCUGGGAACUGCGUUCUGAACUGGCAGGCUAGAGUGUGUCAGAGGGGGGUAGAAUUCCACGUGUAGCAGUGAAAUGCGUAGAGAUGUGGAGGAAUACCGAUGGCGAAGGCAGCCCCCUGGGAUAACACUGACGUUCAUGCUCGAAAGCGUGGGUAGCAAACAGGAUUAGAUACCCCAGUAGUCCCUGUCUCUUAUAC